rnacentral:rRNA from 1 species
CGGAUGAAGGGUGCCCGGGACCCGGUCUUCUCCCUCACGGGAACACUUUUUUCUAAGGUGACCUCGGAUCAGUAGAAUCGCAUUCCC